GACGAACGCUGGCGGCGUGCUUAACACAUGCAAGUCGAACGAUGAAGCCGGAGCUUGCUCUGGUGAAUUAGUGGCGAACGGGUGAGUAACACGUGAGUAACCUGCCCUUGACUCUGGGAUAACUGCGGGAAACUGUAGCUAAUACCGGAUACGACCCUCGGAGGCAUCUCCUGGGGGUGGAAAGAAUUUCGGUCAAGGAUGAGCUCGCGGCCUAUCAGCUAGUUGGUGAGGUAAUGGCUCACCAAGGCGACGACGGGUAGCCGGCCUGAGAGGGUGACCGGCCACACUGGAACUGAGACACGGUCCAGACUCCUACGGGAGGCAGCAGUGGGGAAUAUUGCACAAUGGGCGAAAGCCUGAUGCAGCAACGCCGCGUGAGGGAUGAAGGCCUUCGGGUUGUAAACCUCUUUUAGCAGGGAAGAAGCGAAAGUGACGGUACCUGCAGAAAAAGCACCGGCUAACUACGUGCCAGCCGCCGCCGUAA
rnacentral:rRNA from 1 species